UAAAACGACGAGGAUGAUGAUA
rnacentral:sRNA from 1 species